rnacentral:rRNA from 1 species
UACGAAGGGGGCUAGCGUUGCUCGGAAUCACUGGGCGUAAAGCGCACGUAGGCGGAUUGCUAAGUUAGGGGUGAAAUCCUGGAGCUCAACUCCAGAACUGCCUUUGAUACUGGCGAGCUUGAGUCCGGGAGAGGUGAGUGGAACUGCGAGUGUAGAGGUGAAAUUCGUAGAUAUUCGCAAGAACACCAGUGGCGAAGGCGGCUCACUGGCCCGGUACUGACGCUGAGGUGCGAAAGCGUGGGGAGCAAACAGG